rnacentral:lncRNA from 12 species
GACAGAACAAGUGGCUGCAGCUGCUGAUGCUCAUACCACACAGAUGUCCUGGGAUGUGGCUGUAUGGCAGCCCAGACCUGCUGUUUAACAGCUCCUCAGGUCCCUGAGAGACUACAUGUGAAGUUCACAGUGAAAGCUCAGCAGCUGAAGC